CGCGGCCUAUCAGCUUGUUGGUGAGGUAACGGCUCACCAAGGCGACGACGGGUAGCCGGCCUGAGAGGGUGACCGGCCACACUGGGACUGAGACACGGCCCAGACUCCUACGGGAGGCAGCAGUGGGGAAUAUUGCACAAUGGGCGCAAGCCUGAUGCAGCAACGCCGCGUGGGGGACGACGGCCUUCGGGUUGUAAACCCCUUUCAGCAGGGACGAAAAUGACGGUACCUGCAGAAGAAGCUCCGGCCAACUACGUGCCAGCAGCCGCGGUAAUACGUAGGGAGCGAGCGUUGUCCGGAAUUAUUGGGCGUAAAGAGCUCGUAGGCGGUUCAGUAAGUCGGGUGUGAAAACUCAAGGCUCAACCUUGAGACGCCACUCGAUACUGCUGUGACUUGAGUCCGGUAGAGGAGUGUGGAAUUCCUGGUGUAGCGGUGAAAUGCGCAGAUAUCAGGAGGAACACCAGCGGCGAAGGCGGCACUCUGGGCCGGUACUGACGCUGAGGAGCGAAAGCAUGGGGAGCAAACAGGAUUAGAUACCCUGGUAGUCCAUGCCGUAAACGUUGGGCACUAGGUAUGGGAUCAUAUCAACGGAUUCCGUGCCGUAGCUAACGCAUUAAGUGCCCCGCCUGGGGAGUACGG
rnacentral:rRNA from 1 species